AGCUCCUCCCACCUACCUGAUAACAAUGCAUGCUGUUUUGUCCGCUCUAACUGUAACUUCCUAGUCUCUGUUAUGAGAAGGUGGCUGCUUUUCAUAUUCAUGUUCUUCAAGAUGAGGUUGUCUUGUCAGAAGGAGAUUCUUCCUUUCAAAGUGAAGAACUCUCUGAGGAUGGCAUUGCUCUCACGAAGACUCACUGCUGGCUCUACCAGCUCUGGCUGGGAUGGAGUUAGAGGCAAGAAAGACUGAGCCAUCAAAACAUGUCACUCCUCAGCAUCGUACCAUGCUGUAAGAGGUUCAAAUUGCUUUUAUUUCCUUCAAAAAACGAGUCUAAGAUGUGUUUUAAUGUCUUUAUUCUUAGAUCAAACAAUGUCAUCACGGAAUCGAAGAACGAGGUUACUGGUUGAGAUACAAGAGAAGUGUGAGACAAAUAUGGAAGAUAACACUUCGCAAAUAAAUUAAUACAGAAUAAUUGUCUUUGCAUAGUUCAGAAGUGAAAAGUAGGAGGCAGCAGUGCGCACGUGCUGUGAACUGACACACACCACCACGAAAACCCAAGUUCCUAGAUGAACUCUUGUAGCUGCAAAUAAAACAAACCAAACCAAAAAUACCCCACGCCUCAGAGCACUAACUAUUAAAACCAGGCAGAAAGAGAACUAAUGAGCUUUUUUUUUUUUUUUUCUUUUUCUGUUGUUGUUGUUGAACAGACCAUGCUGCAGGAGUGUUUUCUCUACAGACAGAGGUGCUUUUAGAUAAUCUGCCUUGGCAUCCCGUAGCCCGUCAUACCCGACUGUGAGGCUCCUUUGUUGCUGCCCAUCUGAAGGCCUAUUACGUUCUGUCCCUGACGAAGCUGCUCUUCUGAAAAUCCUCGUCGAUUCUGCUGUGCUUUCCUGUACAGGUGCAUAGAAAAAACCAACACAGACACACAGUCAUUCUGCAUAUGACCAGAUGAUUGGGAAAAGCAAUCUGAAUUCGGCUUAUGUUAACAGCUCCUCCCCUUGUACUUGCAGUAUUUCAUUUGCACCAUCCCAGUGGGUGGACAAUACUGGCUGGGCUAAUUGCUUUCCUGCAGUUAGAAGAAGUGCUCUCUUUAAACCCACAUCACUUCAGUCUUUCACUGUACUGCCUACUCACAACCUUCAGGAUCAUAGCGUCCCCAGCAUCUCUGAUAGGUAAAAUAUUUAUGUAAUACUGUGUAUACCACUCGUGAUAGAGUUAGUAUUUUGUCCUAUAGCUCUUAGAAGCUGUAGUCUAUGGGAUCUGAUCACUAAGAUACUUAUCCAUGCUGUAGUACAAAUUGAUAUCCGUCUAGAGCAAUGGUAUACAUUCAACUCAGUGGAGUAAAUGUGAGUGCAGCGUACCCAGAGAAACAAAGGGACAGCAAAGUGGCUUGCUCAUUUUCACAAGUGUGGAUGAUAGUUGCCUGCAGGACAGAACAAUUGCCCUGCUGCCAUUUCCAGAUCUCUCUCCUCUAAAGCAACAGACUUCAGUCUUUGCACCUGUGUCUUAACUGUAUGACAGUCCUUUAUCUUCUGCCAAAACAUGCUGACCACUUUUGCUUGGAGUUAGCAGUCUCAAAAGCCAUCUAGAUCAAUGAAUCUUUGUUGGACCUUAAAAAGAGUCUCUUUUCCCUGAAAAUAGCGUUGGGGAAAAAAAGAAGCAGCACAAAAGUUUGUACUCGAUUAGUCUUUCAUUUACACAAGGUGGGGAAAACAAGUCACUUAGAAGGGAGAAGGAUCAGUCUGUUGCUGCUAAAUAAAUGGCAAGAACCUGCAGUCUCAAAGGGAGGGAGGCUUUCAGCCAGCUCUCAUCCAGGCACAAUCUCUCUGCUAUCUGUGUCUGUUUGUCCUGGGAUCAGGUUAUCUAGCAAUAUGGCAUCACAUUGCAAUUCCCUUUUCUCCUCAACCCCAUCACAAGAUGGGAAUGUUAGAGUGGGUGCCUACUGUGAUCGAAAGCUAUCAACGCAAUCCUCUGUGAGGGUCUGAUCCUGUGCUGUGGCUGAGCACCGUGGCUCAAGUGCAGAAGAGCACUUCAGAUCUCUCAAGAAUGGAUCCCACUGCCAAUGUGGGGUUUUCCCCAUGAGCCUAAGGUCUUCGGAGAUGGGCGAGCGUUCUUUCCCUCUUUAUCCUUUUUGCCAUUUCACUCUUGUAUCACCUUUCCACCACACUAAUCUUUCCAACUGUAAAAGCAUGCCAUUUUGGAGGCUGGCACACAGAAUUUUGGGCUUCUCAUACAGCAAUUCCAUCUCACUGCUGCUAAAUUUCUUUUCCAGAAUCCUUACAUAGGCAGCAAACCACUGCCAGGAUCUCUGAGAGAGGAUGUUUUCGGAACUACUCCUAUUACGUAACUGAAUCUCAGUUCCACUGUGACUGUCUCUAUUUUAAUUAAAAUCCCAGGAACACAAUCUA